rnacentral:rRNA from 1 species
CCUACGGGAGGCAGCAGUGAGGAAUAUUGGUCAAUGGUCGGGAGACUGAACCAGCCAAGCCGCGUGAGGGAGGAAGGUACAGAGUAUCGUAAACCUCUUUUGUCAGGGAACAAAGACUGGGACGCGUCCCCGGAUGAGUGUACCUGAAGACAAAGCAUCGGCUAACUCCGUGCCAGCAGCCGCGGUAAUACGGAGGAUGCGAGCGUUAUCCGGAUUUAUUGGGUUUAAAGGGAGCGUAGGCCGCAUGUCAAGCGUGCUGUGAAAUGUCCGGGCUCAACCCGGGCCUUGCAGCGCGAACUGGCGUGCUUGAGUCCGCGGAAAGCAGGCGUAAGUCGUCGUGUAGCGGUGAAAUGCUUAGAUAUGACGAAGAACCCCGAUUGCGAAGGCAGCUUGAUGCAGCGGAACUGACGCUGAUGCUCGAAAGCGCGGGUAUCGAACAGGAGUAGAUACCCCAGUAGUG